CUGGUCUAGCUCCAUGGCACCGAAAAUGUAUCAGGGCUCAAGUGAUUCACCGAAGCGACGAGACCUUGAAAGCUACUUUUUCAAGUGUCAGUAGCGGGACGUUCUGUCAAUCGGGGGAGGUUUUUGGUGACAACACCUGGAGAUAUCAAAAGUGAGAAUGCUGACAUGAGUAACGAGAAAUCCUGUGAAAAACACCAUCGCCUGCCAGUGGAAGGCUUUCUGCGUUCAGUCAAUCUACGCAGAGUGAAUCGGUCCCUAAGGAACCCCCGA
rnacentral:ncRNA from 1 species